GAGGACAUGGUUCAAGUGGUAGAGUGCGUGCCUAGCAUGCACAAGGUCCUGGGUUCAAUCCCCAGUAUCUCCU
rnacentral:tRNA from 1 species